UACGGAGGGAGCUAGCGUUAUUCGGAAUUACUGGGCGUAAAGCGCACGUAGGCGGCUUUGUAAGUUAGAGGUGAAAGCCUGGAGCUCAACUCCAGAAUUGCCUUUAAGACUGCAUCGCUUGAAUCCAGGAGAGGUGAGUGGAAUUCCGAGUGUAGAGGCGAAAUUCGUAGAUAUUCGGAAGAACACCAGUGGCGAGGGCGGCUCACUGGACUGGUAUUGACGCUGAGGUGCGAAAGCGUGGGGAGCAAACAGG
rnacentral:rRNA from 1 species